GUUUCCCUUGCUGGAGAGAGGCCGCAGCACAGCAUGCGGCCCACCGAAGGAGCAAGCCCCGCGACAUGCCAUGCAGGCGGGGUGAAUCUCUCAGGUAAAGCGGACAGCGGGGCAAAU
rnacentral:ncRNA from 2 species